rnacentral:rRNA from 1 species
CGGUAAUGACGUUAGGAAAGCGAGCGCGGAUGGGUGAGUAACACGUGGGGAACCUGCCCCAUAGUCUGGGAUACCACUUGGAAACAGGUGCGUAAUACCGGAUAAGAAAGCAGAUCGCAUGAUCAGCUUUUAAAAAGGCGGCGUAAGCUGUCGCUAUGGGAUGGCCCGCGGUGCAUUAGCUAGUUGGUAAGGUAAAGGCUUACCAAGGCGAUGAUGCAUAGCCCGAGUUGAGAGACUGAUCGGGCCACAUUGGGGACUGAGGACACGGGGCCCAAACUCCUACGGGGGGAGGGGGCAGCAGUAGGGGGAAGUCUUCCACAAUGGACGCAAAGUCUGAUGGAGCAACGCCGCGUGAGUGAAGAAGGUUUUCGGAUCGUAAAGCUCUGUUGUUGGUGAAGAAGGAUAGAGGUAGUAACUGGCCUUUAUUUGACGGUAAUCAACCAGAAAGUCACGGCUAACUACGUGCCAGCAGCCGCGGUAAU